rnacentral:tRNA from 2 species
GCGCCCGUAGCUCAACUGGAUAGAGCGUCUGACUACGGAUCAGGAGGUUGGGGGUUCAAAUCCUCCCGGGCGCGCCA